rnacentral:rRNA from 1 species
GAUGAACGCUGGCGGCAUGCCUAAUACAUGCAAGUCGAACGAGAGGAAGGAAAGCUUGCUUUUCUGAAUCUAGUGGCGAACGGGUGAGUAACACGUAGGUAACCUGCCCAUGUGCCCGGGAUAACUUCUGGAAACGGAUGCUAAAACCGGAUAGGUAGCAGACAAGCAUUUGACUGCUAUUAAAGUGGCUAAGGCCAUGAACAUGGAUGGACCUGCGGUGCAUUAGCUAGUUGGGGAGGUAACGGCCCACCAAGGCAACGAUGCAUAGCCGGCCUGAGAGGGCGGACGGCCACAUUGGGACUGAGACACGGCCCAAACUCCUACGGGAGGCAGCAGUAGGGAAUUUUCGUCAAUGGGGGGAACCCUGAACGAGCAAUGCCGCGUGAGUGAGGAAGGUCUUCGGAUCGUAAAGCUCUGUUGUAAGAGAAAAACGACAUUCAUAGGGAAUGAUGAGUGAGUGAUGGUAUCUUACCAGAAAGUCACGGCUAACUACGUGCCAGCAGCCGCAGUAA